GCUGAAACCCGAUCCCCGGCUGCUCUCAGAUCAGUUUGAUGAGGCUGUGAGCAAAAUAGAUGAACAGACACCUGAUGAUCCAGCUGAGUCAAAAGAGGACAGGUUUGGACAGCACCAGACCGGAAUCGGAGAGACUCUCGCUCUGCCAGUGAUCACCGCCUCAGUCUGCCCGUCGGAUCAUCCGGACCUCAGCUACCACGCCACUCUCGCCAUCCGGCCGAUCUUCCCCUCCGGACACUGCCGGCUACCCGCACCACACGCCCGGCUUCACGGAUCCUCCGCCUGGUCAGCUCAGCCUUACUGUUACGCUCGCCAGUCCAGAGUCAGCCCACCUUGUCUCCCUCCAGAGCGCCAUCAGUCACGCCUCCGGGUGACGCCGGAUCCUGCAUUCAUUUGCACUUGCAAUAAUCUGCACAAUAAAAACCGUCCAAUUAACCCAGUUCUGUUUCCGUGAGUUCCUGCAUUUGGGUCCUGAAAAUAGCUCUUACAACAGACUUAGGAUAAGUUUUCAGUAAAUAUCUCGCCCUCUCUCUUCCUCAUCACCCAUACAACUGCGCCAUUGACCUUCUCCCCGGAGACCGCCUGCCUUCCAGCUGUCUGUUUAACCUGUCCCUGUUCCCAUCUGGAAAGAGAGACCAUGGAGAAAUACAUUCAUGAUUCCUUGGCCACAGGAAUUAUCCAGCCAUCUUUUUCCCCUGUUGGUGCAGGACUUUUCUUCGUCUCCAAGAAAGACUGCUCCUUACGCCCCUGUAUCGACAACUGAGGUCUCAACGUCAUCACCAUCAAAAAUAAGUGACCUCUGCCUUUGAACUGAUCCAGGGAGCCACCAUCUUUUCCAAACUGGACGCUUUACAUCCGCACCUGUUCUCAUCCAUCCUGACCCCUCGCGGCAAUUUAUUGUGGAGGGAGGAAACCUCCAACUCUGGGAGAGGGGCGGUUCUCUCCUAGUGCUCAGCCUCCAACCAGAAGCACCAUCCCUGCACCUUCUUCUCCUGCUGUUUGUCUCCUGCCAAGCAAAAUUAUGAUGUUGGGAAUCGGCAGCUGCUGGCUAUCAAGCUCGCCCUGGAGGAAUGCCGGCACUGGCUUGAGGGAGCCUAACAUCCGUUCAUCAUAUGGACAGAACACAAGAACUUGGCCUACAUUCAGCUUAAUGUAGAAAACUUCUGGUCAGUCUUCACUUUGAUGAAUAAAAGAAUAAACUUGA